rnacentral:rRNA from 1 species
GAUGAACGCUAGCGGCAGGCCUAAUACAUGCAAGUCGAACGGAGCAGCAAUGCUUAGUGGCGCACGGGUGCGUAACGCGUAUGAAACCUGCCCUUCACUGGGGGAUAACCUCUCGAAAGAGAGGCUAAUACCGCAUAAGAUAGUAGAGUGGCAUCACUUAGCUAUUAAAACUCCGGUGGUGAAGGAUGGUCAUGCGUCCAAUUAGUUAGUUGGUAGGGUAACGGCCUACCAAGACGAUGAUUGGUAGGGGGUCUGAGAGGAUGAUCCCCCACACUGGUACUGAGAUACGGACCAGACUCCUACGGGAGGCAGCAGUAGGGAAUAUUGGUCAAUGGAGGCAACUCUGAACCAGCCAUGCCGCGUGCAGGAAGAAGGCCUUCGGGUUGUAAAC